rnacentral:lncRNA from 1 species
CCAACGAGAAUCAUGAACAAGAAACCAAACCCUCUGCCGGAAACUCAACAAUGACCUCAAAACUCGACUCGAUUACAAAACUCAAACCAUCUCUUUUUGGGAACGAAAAUCAGAAGAUGAAGCGCAUUUCUUUUUCUUUUCGGACCUGGCCUUUUCACUGUCUCAAUUGUGCAUGUUCCGGCGAUGUGUUGUGAAUGGGAGGGGGGCUGUCCGGCGCUGGACGUGAUGCGACAGUGGUCAUCUCUGGCGGAGGACUGGUCGUGAGGGCGUCGUGAAGGAGAAGACGUUGGGCGACGUGAGAGCUGAGGAGUCGUUUGGACGUAACGACGAUAGAAAAGGUGGUUGUUUGGAUGGUGGAAGUUGACGGUUGUGGCUGCUUUCUUGGGGACGAGGGGUGUGGCUGGG